CCUCCUUACCAUUACGUCGAAAGACGCACUUGAUGCAGUGCCUACACAGAUUGUUUUGUUCGUAAAUGAACAAACUUGGAUACUUACGAUACUCCUGAGAGUACUGUGAGUCCUCCUUGCGCAAAAGUCAUGACAAAAAGCGUCAUGAUUUUGCACGAUAGUUCUUUAACAAAUUUGGAAAGCUGAUAUUAAUAGUAAUCAAUCAAAAUUGAGUACCUGAGAAGUCGAAAGACGUACUUUUUUACUCUACUUGACUUGAAAUUGCUUGUUAUCAACAUUGAUUGAUAGCCAAGGGCAAUUCUUCCCAAUUAGCUUGGUCAUGCCUUACAAACAUUUACCCUUUGUUCCGAAAUUUCAAAAAGGCCGGACAAUUGAAGGCCCGAAUUCUUCAAGGGCUUUUUUUAAAGGUUUGGUUAUGGUUAAAAUUGGACCAAAACCCA
rnacentral:misc_RNA from 1 species